AGUGUUGAUCUGCCUGAGGGUAGUGAGGCCCUACAGAGGGAUCUGGAUAGGCUGGAUAGCUGGGCUGAAGCCAAUGGGAUGGGAUUCAACAAGACCAAAUGCCGGGUCCUGCACUUUGGCCACAAUAACCCCAGGCAACGCUACAGGCUUGAGGCAGAGUAGCUGGAAGACUGUGUAGAGGAAAUGGACCUGGAGGUGUUGAUUGAUGCCAGACUGAACACGAGCCAGCAGUGUGCCCAGGUGGCCAGGAAGGCCAAUGGCAUCCUGGCUUGUAUCAGAAAUAGUGUGGUCAGCAGGAACAGGGAAGUAAUUGUCCCCCUGUACUCAGCACUGUUGAGGCCACACCUCGAGUACUGUGUCCAGUUUUGGGCCCCUCACUGUAAGAAAGACAUCGAGGCCCUGGAGCGUGUCCAGAGAAUGGGCAACAAAGCUGGUGAGGGGCCUGGAGCACAGGCCUAAUGAGGAGUGGCUGAAGGAGCUGGGAUUGUUCAGUCUAGAGAAGAGGAGGCUCAGGGGAGACUACAUUGCUCUCUACAACUACCUGAAAGGAGGUUGUAGUGAGCUGGGGGUUGGUCUCUUCUCUCAUGUGACUAUUGAUGGGACUAGAGGGAAUGGCCUCAAACUGUGCCAGGGAAGAUUCAGGCUGGACGUUAGGAAAUACUACUUCUCUGAAAGGGUGGUCGGGCACUGGAAUGGGCUGCCCAGAGAGGUGGUGGAGUCACUGACCCUGGUGGUGUUCAAAGAGCGUUUGGAUGUUGUGUUGAGGGACAUGGUUUAUUGAGAACUAUUGGUGAUGGGUGAAUUGUUGGACUGGGUGAUCCUGUGGGUCUUUCCCAACCUUGGUGAUUCUAUGAUUCUAUGAUUCUGUCUUGGGGCUGGUGUUCUUUAGCAUAAAGAUGACUUUAUGCUAAAGAUCAGUGACUUAGACGGUGGGAUUGAGUGUACCCUCAGCAAGUUUGCUGAUGACACCAAGAUGAGUGGUGCAGUUGAACUAAUAGAAGGGAGGAACACUAUCCAGGGGGACCUGGACAGGCUUGAGGAAUUGGCACAUGAUCUAGUGAGAUUCAACAAAGCCAAGUGUGAGGCACUGCACUUGGUGUAAG
ensembl:lncRNA